AUACGAAUGUUUCCUUCAUCUCUUUUUCAGCUUGCUUUGUAUUGGUAUAUAGAAAGGUUUCUGAUUUUUAAAGUUGAAUUUGUAUUCUAGCACUUUACUGAAAAUGUUGCUUAUUUCUGUUGGGGUUUUUGAGAUCUAUACUUACAUAAACAUCACCUUACAAUAGGGAUAAUUUUAGUUUUUCUAUUUUUAUACACUUGGGUGAAGGAGCUGGGUUAGCUUCAGUAAGUCAGAAUGCAUAUGUCAUUGCUAUCCCUGGCCUGCGUUUGGGAGUAAGCAGCAGGGAAGGAGGAAAUGGAGUCAGAUUUACCAAGCGAAAUAGCAGAUCCAACUUCUACCUGGCUCUUGAGGAAUUUGUGGAUACAGAGACAUGUGGUAACAAUCCUGUUUCAGACAAGUCCUAAAAGCAAAUGGAUCUGGCUACUACCUGGAUCUGAAACUGAGAAGUGAGAUGGGGUAAGGGUUCUAGAUGAGAGCAAACACGACAGCCCAAGACUGUGCACUCCUCUUGUCUCAGAAUCUGCAUGGUCUGAAUGGAUGGGCAGAGUUGCUCAGGGUAAUGUGAGUAUCCUAGGUUACACUUAUGAAGAAGAGUUGUCCUUUCCAAGAAAAUGGAUGACUCCACCACGCCCAAUGACCUGAAAUUGAAAUCUCUAGAACAUAUAUGACAAAAGAGAAGAAUGAGAUCUACAAGUUGUUCUCUGAAAUACAAAAGUGUCCCACCAUACAAAAUAUGUGUGAAAACUUAAUUUUAUAAUACACAAUCAAAGAUGGAUUAUUAUGUUACUUUGGGUUCCCCCUGUCUUAAAAUGUAGUAUUUCUGUUACUCAUAUCUCUCUAGGUCUUUCUUUAAUAUGCCUUCAAGGGAAGACAAGCUAGCAGCAAACCAAUCAACUUGAUCAUUAGGUCUAAUCACAUGCAUUUGCCCACACUUUUCCCCAUACCAAGCAAGGAUACUGCAUAAGUUGUAAGCAGUUCCAUGAGCUGACUGUCACUUUCUGUCCUCUUAGACAUACCGGAGAAUGCUGACAACAAACUUGCACAAGAUGCCCAAAAACACACAUCAGAGAGCAUUGAGUCGAUGGAAGAAAGAAAACAGAGAUGCAUUUCUGCAAUACUCAAAAGAAUGGAAUGCAAGCAAGCCAUGUGCCCUUCUGAGGUGAGGUAACUACAAGGCUGUACAAUUCUUUCACCUAAAACAAGAGGAAAGAGUGACAAAGUUUCUUCAUUCUUUAGAAAAUUUUAUAGGAAGGACUCAAGUCCCUUCCAGGCUCCGGAGGAACCUCCAGCCCUUGAAGGGACAUCCAAAGAAAUGCAACCAACUACUAAAAGAGGUACUGUAAAUA